rnacentral:rRNA from 1 species
AUUGAACGCUGGCGGCAUGCUUUACACAUGCAAGUCGAACGGUAACAGGCCGCAAGGUGCUGACGAGUGGCGCACGGGUGAGUAAUGCAUCGGAACGUGCCCAGUCGUGGGGGAUAACUACUCGAAAGAGUAGCUAAUACCGCAUACGAUCUAUGGAUGAAAGCGGGGGACCGUAAGGCCUCGCGCGAUUGGAGCGGCCGAUGUCAGAUUAGGUAGUUGGUGGGGUAAAGGCUCACCAAGCCAACGAUCUGUAGCUGGUCUGAGAGGACGGGCAGCCACACUGGGACUGAGACACGGCCCAGACUCCUACGGGAGGCAGCAGUGGGGAAUUUUGGACAAUGGGCGCAAGCCUGAUCCAGCAAUGCCGCGUGCAGGAAGAAGGCCUUCGGGUUGUAAACUGCUUUUGUACGGAACGAAACGGCUCUGGUUAAUACCCGGGGCUAAUGACGGUACCGUAAGAAUAAGCACCGGCUAACUACGUG